UACGUAGGGUGCGAGCGUUAAUCGGAAUUACUGGGCGUAAAGCGUGCGCAGGCGGUUUUGUAAGACAGGCGUGAAAUCCCCGGGCUCAACCUGGGAAUGGCGCUUGUGACUGCAAAGCUGGAGUGCGGCAGAGGGGGAUGGAAUUCCGCGUGUAGCAGUGAAAUGCGUAGAUAUGCGGAGGAACACCGAUGGCGAAGGCAAUCCCCCUGGGCCUGCACUGACGCUCAUGCACGAAGACGUGGGGAGCAAACAGG
rnacentral:rRNA from 1 species